rnacentral:lncRNA from 1 species
UCUGCCGCCAUACUAAGAACACAGGAAAACACACACACACACACACACACACACACACACACACACACACACACACACACACACACACACACACACACACACACACAAGUUUACAAACACUGCACACAUACACUAACACUUUUCACAAUAAUACAUACACAAACAACUAACCAAACAAACGAAUGCACUCACUCCAAACCAAAGUAACAUGCACUAAGCGCUAGAUUAUAUCCGCUUGCGGGAGCACACACGGACAGUUGCGGACACCACAGGCGUGUUUUUGUAACAUUGGCCCUAAGUACAAACACACACACACAUGAGAAGAGACACACACAUACACACAAACAAGAAAGGACACACACACACACACACAGUCACACACACCCCUCCUCCAUAAGCCACUGAUGGUUCUCCCCACCCCCUGGUAUUAUGCCUAUAAACUUUGAAGCAUGCACUGCGAGACUGGCAGGCAGCAUCACCCACAUCUCCUCCUCAGCUCAACCCUGGUUGUUCCAGAAGAGUCGGCCCAGAGUUAACCCUCACCCUCGAGUUCCAAAGCAGUUGGGUCAGCACCACCAAAAUCACAUCACCCCUUCGGAAUCUACUGGUCUUUUUUGACAUUGACCUCCCAUCACCACUAGUUGGAGCCCUUGAGCCCGCGCCGGCCACCAGCAGUCCACGCUAGACAGGGAGAAUGGAGAGAGUGCAGCACAUGACGCGCUCCGCCAUCCGCAGGGCGUCCAACAUCGAGAUAAACCCACAGACCAAGCGUAACCUGCAGGAGCUCUUUGUCAACUUCUCCCUCAUCCUUAUCUGCUUGCUUCUCAUAUACAUCAUCGUGUUGCUCAUGUGACGCCAUCAGUUCACGGUCACACAUACGCUUCCAGACAAACAAUUACAGGUGAACUGAAAAGAUCAAGCCAGGGCAUCAUUUGGAAUUGGGAAAACAUGCGGCAAGUGUGUCUGUGUGUAUGGAGGGGGGGGGGAUAGAGAGCACUCAUAAUUCACCAUGAAAAUGCUUCACUGGGAGACAGAUCAUAAAAAAUGUGUGGUGGCUGAAAUAAAUUACGCAGGGUGUUUCUGUAUUUUGGUAAA